CCUACGGGUGGCAGCAGUAGGGAAUCUUUCACAAUGGGCGAAAGCCUGAUGGAGCAACGCCGCGUGCAGGAUGAAGGCCUUCGGGUUGUAAACUGCUUUUAUAAGCGAGAAAUAUGAUGGUAACUUAUGAAUAAGGAUCGGCUAACGACGUGCCAGCGGCCGCGGUCAUACGUAGGAUCCGAGCAUUAUCCGGAGUGACUGGGUGUAAAGAGUUGCGUAGGUGGCAAAAGAAGUAGCUAUGCAAAGCUGGUGGGUCAACCAUUCAGACUAUUAGCUAAACUGGUAAGCUCGAGACCGUUAGGGGUAACUGGAAGUUCUAGUGUAGGAGUGAAAUCCGUAGAUAUUAGAAAGAACACCAAUAGCGUAGGCAGGUUACUGGGACGGUUCUGACACUAAGGCACGAAAGCGUAGGGAGCAAACGGGAUUAGAUACCCGUGUAGUC
rnacentral:rRNA from 1 species